AUUAUGUGGUGAAUCCCACAGGUUGCACAGCAGAUCCAACUGAACAAACCGUCCCUGUAGACGACAAUGACAAAGACGCAAAGCCCUCUACAGCAAACACCAAGUCAGAGAAUUCGGAGGAUGAUGGUGGUAGUCUGGGAGUGGUGAUAUUUCUGGUUGUUUGCUGUCAUCAUCAUAGCCUUGUUGUUCUCUCUAUUUGUCCUCAUGUGGGUGAAGCAAUGGAGGCGGGACAACGUGACACGACAGGAUCUGACCUCAAUGUUGAAGAUGAAGUCCUGCAUAUCUGAAGUGAGUCAGACCCCUAUCAAUGUCAC